UCUCUCUCUCUCUCUCUCUCUCUCCCUUCUGUGUCUCUCAUAUCAGACUGUAAGGUAUGCCUAUUGGUCUCCCAUUAGGAGCUUUGGAGCAUCAGAUAAUCCUAGAGAUCAUCUCUAAUGGUCCAGCUCUGUGGCAGUCCUUGAGCCAACAAAACAUCGAAGGACAUCAGAUGAUGGCUAGCCUUGAUUUAGCACUCUAAAGUUUGCAAAGCACUUUACAAAUAUUAUUUCAUUUCAUCCUCACAACAAACCUGGAGGUACCACCCAAAUGACCUAUCAAAGCUCUGGAGGUCUGCCUGAAACAUAUUAAAAAGUAAUUAUAUGAAGCAAUGCAAAGUGAAGUGAGCAGAACAAGGAGGAUGUGAUACACAGCAACAGCAAUAAUAUAUGAAGAUCAUCUGUAAGUGAAUAAAUAUUAUAUGCAAUUUAAAGAUCUAGGAUCACUCCAAGGGACUCAUGACAAAAAAGUGCAUCUACCACCAUAGAAGGAAAAAAUGGAGUUUGAAUGCAGAUUGAAACAUACCAAUCUUCACUUUGUUUCCUCAAUAAAUUUUUUCUAGCAUAAAUGAUAUGAAUCUUGUUUUACAACCCAACAAACAGGAAAAUAUGUAUUAUAUGAUAAUAUAUACAUACAACC